rnacentral:rRNA from 1 species
GGGAAAAGCCCAGCGCUGAAUCCUUCAGCCACUGGCUGCUAGGAAUUGUAGCGUAUAGGUGCGACUGUCCGUUCGUUUCGUGCACCCAAAGUCCCCUUGAGCGGGGCUAUAGUCCAAAGAAGGUGCUAGACCUGUACGGGUGGCGAAGCGAACGGUUGGUUGCUCCUUGGAGUCGGGUUGCCUGGGAUCGCAGCCCAAAGUUGGUGGUAGACCUCAUCUAAGGCUAAAUAUGGCCACGAAACCGAUAGCAAACAAGUACCGUGAGGGAAAGUUGCAAAGAACUUUGAAGAGAGAGUUCAAGAGGGCGUGAAACCGUUGAGAUUGAAACGGAUAGAGUUAACGAAACUCGGCUGCAUUCAUCCGAUCGGCCUAAUGGAUCAAUAGCGUUCGCAUCCUCGAUGAGGGCAACGUUAUCGUUAACUAUUGGGUAAUUGAUCGGUGUAUUUGCGGCUGGUAUGCGCUGAGAGUUUUGUGAUCGCAUGUUAACGGGUGUGCAGUGGACCAUUCCUUCCGGGUGUGGAAACCUUCACAUCUUUAGGCAUGUCGAUUAUAAAGUUUUGAACGUGGCGUCUCCGCUAUUGUGCGUCGACUUAUGCGUACUAUUGUGAUUAUUGAAUAUUCGCAUGCGAAUAUUUGUAGUUAACGAUAUUGCGACAAAAGUGCGGACGCGUUGAGACGUGUAUCUCGGUGUGAACGUUGACCACCUAUCCGACCCGUCUUGAAACACGGACCAAGGAGUCUAGCAUAUGCGCGAGUCAUUGGGUGGUAAACCUAAGGGCGUAAUGAAAGUAAAAGUCACCUCGAUGUGGCCGAUAUGGGAUCCGGAUAACUUACGAGCCAUUCGGCGCACCAUAGCCCCGUCCCCAUUGCUUGCAAUAGGGCGGAGGUAGAGCGCAUAUGCUGGGACCCGAAAGAUGGUGAACUAUGCCUGAGCAGGAUGAAGCCAGAGGAAACUCUGGUGGAAGUCCGAAGCGGUUCUGACGUGCAAAUCGAUCGUCUGACUUGGGUAUAGGGGCGAAAGACUAAUCGA